rnacentral:rRNA from 1 species
GACGAACGCUGGCGGCGUGCUUAACACAUGCAAGUCGAACGGUAAGGCCCUUCGAGGUACACGAGUGGCGAACGGGUGAGUAACACGUGGGUGAUCUGCCCUGCACUUCGGGAUAAGCCUGGGAAACUGGGUCUAAUACCGGAUAGGACCACUGCCUGCAUGGGUGGUGGUGGAAAGCUUUUGCGGUGUGGGAUGGGCCCGCGGCCUAUCAGCUUGUUGGUGGGGGGAUGGCCUACCAAGGCGACGACGGGUAGCCGGCCUGAGAGGGUGACCGGCCACACUGGGACUGAGAUACGGCCCAGACUCCUACGGGAGGCAGCAGUGGGGAAUAUUGCACAAUGGGCGCAAGCCUGAUGCAGCGACGCCGCGUGAGGGAUGACGGCCUUCGGGUUGUAAACCUCUUUCAGCACCGACGAAGCGCAAGUGACGGUAGGUGCAGAAGAAGGACCGGCCAACUACGUGCCAGCAGCCGCCGUAA